UACGUAGGGGGCUAGCGUUGUCCGGAAUCAUUGGGCGUAAAGCGCGUGUAGGCGGUCCGGUAAGUCCGCUGUGAAAGUCGGGGGCUCAACCCUCGAAUGCCGGUGGAUACUGUCGGGCUAGAGUGCGGAAGAGGCGAGUGGAAUUCCUGGUGUAGCGGUGAAAUGCGCAGAUAUCAGGAGGAACACCAGUUGGCGAAAGGGCAG
rnacentral:rRNA from 1 species